rnacentral:rRNA from 1 species
CACGUAGGGGGCUAGCGUUGUCCGGAUUUAUUGGGCGUAAAGAGCGUGUAGGCGGCCAGGUAGGUCUGCUGUGAAAACUCGAGGCUUAACCUCGAGAUGUCGGCGGAAACCAUCUGGCUAGAGUCCGGAAGAGGAGAGUGGAAUUCCUGGUGUAGCGGUGAAAUGCGCAGAUAUCAGGAAGAACACCCGUGGCGAAGGCGGCUCUCUGGGACGGUACUGACGCUGAGACGCGAAAGCGUGGGGAGCGAACAGG